rnacentral:rRNA from 1 species
UGACUGCGUACCUUUUGUAUAAUGGGUCAGCGACUUAUAUUCUGUAGCAAGGUUAACCGAAUAGGGGAGCCGAAGGGAAACCGAGUCUUAACUGGGCGUUAAGUUGCAGGGUAUAGACCCGAAACCCGGUGAUCUAGCCAUGGGCAGGUUGAAGGUUGGGUAACACUAACUGGAGGACCGAACCGACUAAUGUUGAAAAAUUAGCGGAUGACUUGUGGCUGGGGGUGAAAGGCCAAUCAAACCGGGAGAUAGCUGGUUCUCCCCGAAAGCUAUUUAGGUAGCGCCUCGUGAAUUCAUCUCCGGGGGUAGAGCACUGUUUCGGCAAGGGGGUCAUCCCGACUUACCAACCCGAUGCAAACUGCGAAUACCGGAGAAUGUUAUCACGGGAGACACACGGCGGGUGCUAACGUCCGUCGUGAAGAGGGAAACAACCCAGACCGCCAGCUAAGGUCCCAAAGUCAUGGUUAAGUGGGAAACGAUGUGGGAAGGCCCAGACAGCCAGGAUGUUGGCUUAGAAGCAGCCAUCAUUUAAAGAAAGCGUAAUAGCUCACUGGUCGAGUCGGCCUGCGCGGAAGAUGUAACGGGGCUAAACCAUGCACCGAAGCUGCGGCAGCGACGCUUAUGCGUUGUUGGGUAGGGGAGCGUUCUGUAAGCCUGCGAAGGUGUGCUGUGAGGCAUGCUGGAGGUAUCAGAAGUGCGAAUGCUGACAUAAGUAACGAUAAAGCGGGUGAAAAGCCCGCUCGCCGGAAGACCAAGGGUUCCUGUCCAACGUUAAUCGGGGCAGGGUGAGUCGACCCCUAAGGCGAGGCCGAAAGGCGUAGUCGAUGGGAAACAGGUUAAUAUUCCUGUACUUGGUGUUACUGCGAAGGGGGGACGGAGAAGGCUAUGUUGGCCGGGCGACGGUUGUCCCGGUUUAAGCGUGUAGGCUGGUUUUCCAGGCAAAUCCGGAAAAUCAAGGCUGAGGCGUGAUGACGAGGCACUACGGUGCUGAAGCAACAAAUGCCCUGCUUCCAGGAAAAGCCUCUAAGCAUCAGGUAACAUCAAAUCGUACCCCAAACCGACACAGGUGGUCAGGUAGAGAAUACCAAGGCGCUUGAGAGAACUCGGGUGAAGGAACUAGGCAAAAUGGUGCCGUAACUUCGGGAGAAGGCACGCUGAUAUGUAGGUGAAGUCCCUCGCGGAUGGAGCUGAAAUCAGUCGAAGAUACCAGCUGGCUGCAACUGUUUAUUAAAAACACAGCACUGUGCAAACACGAAAGUGGACGUAUACGGUGUGACGCCUGCCCGGUGCCGGAAGGUUAAUUGAUGGGGUCAGCGCAAGCGAAGCUCUUGAUCGAAGCCCCGGUAAACGGCGGCCGUAACUAUAACGGUCCUAAGGUAGCGAAAUUCCUUGUCGGGUAAGUUCCGACCUGCACGAAUGGCGUAAUGAUGGCCAGGCUGUCUCCACCCGAGACUCAGUGAAAUUGAACUCGCUGUGAAGAUGCAGUGUACCCGCGGCAAGACGGAAAGACCCCGUGAACCUUUACUAUAGCUUGACACUGAACAUUGAGCCUUGAUGUGUAGGAUAGGUGGGAGGCUUGGAAGUGUGGACGCCAGUCUGCAUGGAGCCGACCUUGAAAUACCACCCUUUAAUGUUUGAUGUUCUAACGUUGACCCGUAAUCCGGGUUGCGGACAGUGUCUGGUGGGUAGUUUGACUGGGGCGGUCUCCUCCUAAAGAGUAACGGAGGAGCACGAAGGUUGGCUAAUCCUGGUCGGACAUCAGGAGGUUAGUGCAAUGGCAUAAGCCAGCUUGACUGCGAGCGUGACGGCGCGAGCAGGUGCGAAAGCAGGUCAUAGUGAUCCGGUGGUUCUGAAUGGAAGGGCCAUCGCUCAACGGAUAAAAGGUACUCCGGGGAUAACAGGCUGAUACCGCCCAAGAGUUCAUAUCGACGGCGGUGUUUGGCACCUCGAUGUCGGCUCAUCACAUCCUGGGGCUGAAGUAGGUCCCAAGGGUAUGGCUGUUCGCCAUUUAAAGUGGUACGCGAGCUGGGUUUAGAACGUCGUGAGACAGUUCGGUCCCUAUCUGCCGUGGGCGCUGGAGAACUGAGGGGGGCUGCUCCUAGUACGAGAGGACCGGAGUGGACGCAUCACUGGUGUUCGGGUUGUCAUGCCAAUGGCACUGCCCGGUAGCUAAAUGCGGAAGAGAUAAGUGCUGAAAGCAUCUAAGCACGAAACUUGCCCCGAGAUGAGUUCUCCCUGACUCCUUGAGAGUCCUGAAGGAACGUUGAAGACGACGACGUUGAUAGGCCGGGUGUGUAAGCGCAGCGAUGCGUUGAGCUAACCGGUACUAAUGAACCGUGAGGCUUAACCUUACAACGCCGAAGCUGUU